AUGAACGCUGGCGGCGUGCCUAAUACAUGCAAGUCGAGCGAACAGACGAGGAGCUUGCUCCUCUGACGUUAGCGGCGGACGGGUGAGUAACACGUGGAUAACCUACCUAUAAGACUGGGAUAACUUCGGGAAACCGGAGCUAAUACCGGAUAAUAUAUUGAACCGCAUGGUUCAAUAGUGAAAGACGGUUUUGCUGUCACUUAUAGAUGGAUCCGCGCCGCAUUAGCUAGUUGGUAAGGUAACGGCUUACCAAGGCAACGAUGCGUAGCCGACCUGAGAGGGUGAGCGGCCACACUGGAACUGAGACACGGUCCAGACUCCUACGGGAGGCAGCAGUAGGGAAUCUUCCGCAAUGGGCGAAAGCCUGACGGAGCAACGCCGCGUGAGUGAUGAAGGUCUUCGGAUCGUAAAACUCUGUUAUUAGGGAAGAACAAAUGUGUAAGUAACUAUGCACGUCUUGACGGUACCUAAUCAGAAAGCCACGGCUAACUACGUU
rnacentral:rRNA from 1 species